rnacentral:rRNA from 1 species
CCGGGGAGCUUGCUCCACGGAGCCGAGUGGCGGACGGGUGAGUAACACGUGACUAACCUGUCCCAGGGUGAGGGACAACCUGGGGAAACCCGGGCUAAUACCACAUGACGUCUCAUUGUCACAUGACGGCGAGAUCAAAGAGGGCCUCUGCUUGCAAGCUCUCGCCCAGGGAGGGGGUCGCGGCGUAUCAGCUAGUUGGCGGGGUAACGGCCCACCAAGGCGACGACGCGUAGCGGGUCUGAGAGGACGGCCCGUCACAUUGGGACUGAGAUACGGCCCAGACUCCUACGGGAGGCAGCAGUGGGGAAUAUUGCGCAAUGGGCGAAAGCCUGACGCAGCGACGCCGCGUGUGGGAGGAAGCUCUUCGGGGUGUAAACCACUGUCAGAGGGGAAGAACGGCGUCGAUCCGAAUAGGCUCGGCGAUUGACGGUACCCUCAAAGGAAGCGCCGGCUAACUCCGUGCCAGCAGCCGCGGUAAGACGGAGGGCGCAAGCGUUGUUCGGAAUUACUGGGCGUAAAGCGCGGGCAGGCGGUUUGCUAAGUCGUUUGUGAAAAUCCGGGGCUCAACCCCGGAAAUGCGUACGAUACUGGCAGACUGGAGACCGGUAGAGGCUAGCGGAAUUCCUGGUGUAGCGGUGGAAUGCGUA